rnacentral:ncRNA from 1 species
GAAACCACCUCAAAGGAAACACAGAAAGGUUGGACAGAUUGAUAGCUCUUUCUUGAUUCUGUGGGUGGUGCUGCAUGGCCGUUCUUACUUGGAGCAAGUUGCCUGGUUAAUUCCAAUAACGAACGAGAGUCUGCUAACUAGUUAUGCGACCCCCCAAGUGGUCGGCAAUCAACUUCUUAGAGGGACAAGUGACAUUCAUCCACCUGGGAUUGAGCAAUAACAGAUCUAUGAUGCCCUUAAAAAUUGGAG